UACGAAGGGUGCGAGCGUUGUUCGGAAUUACUGGGCGUAAAGGGUUCGUAGGCGGAAUUGUAAGUUAGAUGUGAAACCUCCGGGCUCAACCUGGAACGUGCAUCUAAAACUACUUUUCUUGAGUGUUGGAGAGGGCAGUGGAAUUGCUGGUGUAGGAGUGACAUCCGUAGAGAUCAGCAGGAACACCGGAGGCGAAGGCGACUGCCUGGCCGAACACUGACGCUGAGGAACGAAAGCGUGGGGAGCAAACAGG
rnacentral:rRNA from 1 species